GGCUGGUUAGCUCAGUCGGUUAGAGCGUGGUGCUGAUAACACCAAGGUCACGGGUUUGAUCCCCGUUCGUCCC
rnacentral:tRNA from 1 species